GGCCAUUUGGGGGCAAUAUUGUCAAUGUUAGCGCCCCAUACUUUCGACGCCAGGGAUCUGGUUUGCGUAUAUCCGACAUUCAAUAUGGUGGUGGAAGCUUCGAAAUAUCGUGGUACCAAAAAAAAAUCUGUCUCUGGUGAUAUUAUGAGUUCAUCUGGUAGUAGUGAAGAGCAUGAUUCGAGCAUCAAAAGAAAAUAUAAAGAGGGAAUGCAUGACCAGGAUGAUCAACAUUAUGAGUCCAGACAUUCAAAGAAAAAGAAGAAGGACAAGAAAAAACAUAAACACAAAAAGAAGCACAAACACAACAAAGAAGACAAAUCUGCAGAAAGUGACAUGGUGUCCAUGCUUAUAGAUAUGGCUGAUCUUGACCAGUUAGAGCAUCGCAAGCGAUUAUUACAACAACAACUGGAAGAAACAGCAGGAAAGAAGGAUGGUGAUAAAAGCGAAAAUGCUUAUUCUGAAAUAAUGAAAGAUUUAACAGCAAAUGAUGCAGAAGUUGCUCAAUUAAUUGAAGAUUGUAAAAGAGAGGCAUUACAACAAAGCAAUAAAAGCAACAAUGAUAAUAAAAAAGACAGUAAAAGUGAGAUCGAUACAGAAUCAUCUCACAAAUCAGCUGAAAAGUAUCACUCAAGUCGUAAGGAUGCAAGAAGAUCACGUGACAGAGAUCAUUCAAGUUCCAGACACAGUCGUAAAAGAUCGCCAAGAGAAAGAAGCAGGUCAAAACAAAGAGAUAGAGAUUACGAAAGAAAACAAGAUUCUGAUAAAUAUCCUAGAAGAGAUAGUCGUGACAGAUCUCACCAUGAAAGUGAUAACUCUAGACGGGAUAACGAGAAUAAAACUAGAGAAAAAGAACGAAAUGAACGGGACAAAUCAACAACAGAUAGACACAUGAGAGAUCCUGAUAAAUAUGGGCGUGACAGAUUUGAUUCAGAUAGACGCAAUAGAAGUAGAGAUACUGAGGAAAGCCGAAGAUACAGGAGUAGUAAUGACAGAUACCAGCGUGAUAGAGGUCAUGAUAACAGAAAUAGUAGAUAUACUAAUGAUAGAGAUCGGAGAAGGCGGAGUAGGUCAAAAGAUAGGCAUGCUGGCAAAGAAGAAAGUAAGAAGGCUGAGAGCUCUGAUGAAGACAUCAACCUUGACGAUUUGGCAGAAAAAAUGGAAGUUGACGAAGAUGAACUUAUAGAGAAGCGUAGGCAGGAACGAAAGGCAUUAUUAGCAAAAUUUCAAAUAACUCCAGAACCUACUCCACCGCCUGAGCCACCUGUGGUUAUACAAGCCAAAGAUACAUCUACAAAACCAUCUGUGGAAGAGCAGGUGGAAAGCGUAAAUGGGAUUCAAAACCAAAAGCACAAUAUGGACAAUACUAAUGACGAUAAAAGCAGUGAUGAAGACAUUGAGUCAAGCUCUUCUGACACGUCAAGUUCAACUGAUGAAUCCAGUGAUUCAGAUGACUCUUCUAAGAAACAUAGUAAACGGGAAUUGGUAUUACAAAGAAAACUUGAAGAAGAGAAAGACAAACUACGUAAAAGAGAAUUUGAAAAAACUAUUCAUCGCAUGGAGAAAGACCAGGCCAAAUUAAAGGAUAAGCUCAAAAGUAUUGAAAAAUCGAGCGAUUUAAGUGAGAAAGAAAAGCGAAAGGACAAGGAAAAAUAUGGAGAGAGGUUAAAGAAGGUGGAAAGACAAAUACAGAAAGAAAAAACAAAAGAAGAGGAACGCGUAAAGAGAAGAGAGGCAGAAAAGUUAAGACAGAAAGAAAGAGACUUGCGUGAAAAAUUACGUAAGAAGGGAAAACGUAGGGAAAAAGAAAAAAAGGAGUCUCAAAGAAUAACUGACAGGGAGGAAAAUAUUAAAGAAAAUGCUAGCGUCGUUGAAACUGCUUCAAGUAAUACACCCCAAGAAAGUCAUGUAAAUGAAAAAAGCAGCGAAACGUCUAUAAAUUUUUCUGAUAAAAAACGCACAAACAAUGAUGUAAAUGAGAGUUCUGUUACUGCAAAUAAGAGACCACGCAAGUCUAGUACAAACUUAGAAACUGAGGCAGAGACCAUUGCAGAAGAAAUUCAGCAAAAGAAAGAAAAUGCGAGUUCAGGUGAAGAUGAAAAAGAAAUAAAGGAUGGUUUGGACAUGUUUGCAGAGGAUGGACAACACAAUAUGUUUUCGGAAAAAUUUGAGAGUCCCAUGACCGGCAGUACAAACACACACACUACACAAGAAGGAAACAACCCAAACUUAACCGAUAAUUGGGAUGAUGCAGAAGGAUAUUACAAAACAAGGAUUGGUGAGACUAUGGACAAAAGAUAUAAUGUGUAUGGAUACACAGGGCAUGGUGUGUUUAGUAAUGUGGUGCGAGCACGUGACACGAUGAAAGACAACACAGAUGUCGCUAUCAAAAUUAUGAGAAACAAUGAACUUAUGGAGAAGCAAGGUCGGCAAGAAAUGAAGAUAUUGCAGCGUUUAAACGAAGCUGAUCCUGAUGACAAGUACCAUUGUUUGCGAAUGUUUCGUCAUUUUGAUCAUAAGCAGCAUUUGUGUCUGGUGUUUGAAUGUCUCAGUAUGAACUUGAGAGAAGUUUUAAAGAAAUAUGGAAGUAAUGUUGGUCUUCAUGUGAAAGCAGUUCGUUCAUAUGCGCAGCAGUUAUUACUGGCUUUGCGGUUGUUGAAGAAAUGUGAUAUCAUCCAUGCAGACAUCAAACCAGACAAUAUAUUAGUCAACGAAUCCAAGAUGCUGCUGAAGCUGUGUGAUUUUGGAUCAGCAUCUCCUGUUGCAGAUAACGAGAUCACACCGUAUCUUGUCAGUCGCUUUUACAGAGCUCCAGAAAUCAUUAUUGGUCAGAAGUACGAUACAAUGUUGGAUUUGUGGUCUGUCGCUUGUACUUUGUUUGAGCUAUACACAGGAAAGAUUAUGUUCUCUGGGAAGACAAACAAUGAGAUGCUCAAAUUGAUGAUGGAUGUCAAAGGAAGGAUGCCGAACAGGUUCAUUAGGAAGGCUAUGUUCAGGGAUAAACAUUUUGAUGAAAGUUUUAAUUUCAUGUAUGUCGAAUUGGAUAAAAUCACUCAAAAGAGAUGUUUCGUGCAGUUUUUACACAGAUCUGAUUUUCUGAUGUCGUUAUAGUUUGAUGCCACGAUAUGGUCGAGCAUUUGGAAUGUAACAAAAUAUACUCCAAUUACUGACCAACUUACAUUCAGCGUAUGUGAUUGGUUUAACAAACAUUUGCCCUGAUGAGUGAGGAUUCUUAAUGCAGUUCAAAUCAGAUGUUAAUAAAUGAUUCCCAUAUGCAAUAUCAAUAUCAAGACUCGACGUGGUGUAUUGGUUACUGCUUGAUGUACCUGCCAUCCCUUUACAAAGACUUCGUGUGUAGCUUCAUCAUUGGUUUUGAAGACUCUUAUUCGUGUUUUAAGAAUUCAUACGUACAUCUCAUCGUAAAGACAUCGCAUUUACGUCGUUAUUUGGGAAGAAUUCGUAUGUACAUCUGAUUGUAAAGACUUUGCCUUUGCGUCGUCACUUGUGAAGAAUUCGUACGUACAAUUGAUUGUAACGACUUUGCAUUUACGUGGUUGCUUGUGAAGAAUUCGUAUGUACAUCUGAUCGUAGCGACUUUGCAUUUACGUUGUUGCUUGCGAAAAAUUCGUACGUACAAUUGAUUGUAACGACUUUGCAUUUACGUGGUUGCUUGUGAAGAAUUCGUAUGUACAUCUGAUCGUAAGGACUUUGCAUUUGCGUCGUCACUUGUGAAGAAUUCGUACGUACAAUUGAUUGUAACAACUUUGCAGUAACGUGGUUGCUUUUGAAGAAUUCGUAUGUACAUCUGAUCGUAACGACUUUGCAUUUACGUUGUUGCUUGCGAAAAAUUCGUACGUACAUCAUUGGUUUUGACGUCAUACUACUCUAGACUUUAUAUUUACGUCGUUGCUCGUAAAACACUUCGACCGUGCAUUGUUUGUGGAGACCUCGUGUAUACCGCACUGAAUGUGGAAAACUUGGUUUGUACAAUCUUACUUGCUCUACUCUUGCUACUACUCUAAGAUAGCUUUUUGAGUGUUUUUUUUUUUAAAAUGGGGACGACACCGUAGCGACUUAUUAUGGCGCACACAUAGUAGAAGUUUUUAGGGCGUUAGUGCGCCCAUAGUGUGCACUCAUAGUGCGUGCGAUGCAUUCCUAAGACGUCUGCCAUACCGAUUAGCAUUAGAAGUUGUCAACCGUCAUUACUUCACGUAUGUAUGAAUGUGUACGUGAAUGAAGAUAUAAAGAUAAGUAAUAAAUCGUUAGCUAGUAUAGUAUAUUAUGAAGAAAGAGACUGUAUAAAUAAACAAUGCAAAGAUUAGAAAAGUUAGGUCA